rnacentral:rRNA from 1 species
AUUGAACGCUGGCGGCAGGCUUAACACAUGCAAGUCGAGCGGAGACUUCGGUCUUAGCGGCGAACGGGUGAGUAAUACCUAGGAAUCUGCCUAUUAGUGGGGGAUAACGAAUCGAAAGGUUCGCUAAUACCGCAUACGUCCUACGGGAGAAAGGGGGGGAUCUUCGGACCUCUCGCUAAUAGAUGAGCCUAGGCCGGAUUAGCUAGUUGGUAGGGUAAAGGCCUACCAAGGCGACGAUCUGUAGCUGGUCUGAGAGGAUGGCCAGCCACACUGGAACUGAGACACGGUCCAGACUCCUACGGGAGGCAGCAGUGGGGAAUAUUGGACAAUGGGGGGCAACCCUGAUCCAGCCAUGCCGCGUGUGUGAAGAAGGCCUCGGUUGUAAGUCGACUUUAAGUACGAGGAGGAAGGGUUUUUA